rnacentral:rRNA from 1 species
UGAUUAUGACGUACUUGUACUGAUUGAGAUUUUAACACGAAGUGAGUGGCGAACGGGUGAGUAACACGUGGGUAACCUGCCCAGAAGUAGGGGAUAACACCUGGAAACAGAUGCUAAUACCGUAUAACAGAGAAAACCGCAUGGUUUUCUUUUAAAAGAUGGCUCUGCUAUCACUUCUGGAUGGACCCGCGGCGUAUUAGCUAGUUGGUGAGGUAAAGGCUCACCAAGGCAGUGAUACGUAGCCGACCUGAGAGGGUAAUCGGCCACAUUGGGACUGAGACACGGCCCAGACUCCUACGGGAGGCAGCAGUAGGGAAUCUUCCACAAUGGACGCAAGUCUGAUGGAGCAACGCCGCGUGAGUGAAGAAGGGUUUCGGCUCGUAAAGCUCUGUUGUUAAAGAAGAACGUGGGUAAGAGUAACUGUUUACCCAGUGACGGUAUUUAACCAGAAAGCCACGGCUAACUACGUGCCAGCAGCCGCGGUAAUACGUAGGUGGCAAGCGUUAUCCGGAUUUAUUGGGCGUAAAGCGAGCGCAGGCGGUCUUUUAAGUCUAAUGUGAAAGCCUUCGGCUCAACCGAAGAAGUGCAUUGGAAACUGGGAGACUUGAGUGCAGAAGAGGACAGUGGAACUCCAUGUG